ACAUCAGUGAGGUGUAUCCUUACCUGUUACCUUAGAAAUAAGGUUUCAGUUCAUGAUGAUUGGAUUCUAUGAAUGUAUGAUUCAUUUCCGCAUUUGUUAUGGCAUGCAACACCAUAAUGAAUCCUGUCUGAC